UACGUAGGGGGCAAGCGUUGUCCGGAAUCAUUGGGCGUAAAGAGCGCGUAGGCGGCCCUGUAAGUCCGCUGUGAAAGUCAAGGGCUCAACCCUUGAAUGCCGGUGGAUACUGCAGGGCUAGAGUCCGGAAGAGGCGAGCGGAAUUCCUGGUGUAGCGGUGAAAUGCGCAGAUAUCAGGAGGAACACCGAUGGCGAAGGCAGCUCGCUGGGACGGUACUGACGCUGAGGUGCGAAAGCGUGGGGAGCAAACAGG
rnacentral:rRNA from 1 species